CGGACGGGUGAGUAACGCGUGAGAAUCUGCCUUCUGGUCGGGGACAACCAUUGGAAACGAUGGCUAAUACCGGAUGAGCCUACGGGUAAAGAUUUAUUGCCAGAAGAGGAGCUCGCGUCUGAUUAGCUAGUUGGUGGGGUAAAAGCUCACCAAGGCAUCGAUCAGUAGCUGGUCUGAGAGGAUGACCAGCCACACUGGGACUGAGACACGGCCCAG
rnacentral:rRNA from 1 species